AUUUAAUUAAUAAAUUAAAACUUUCAACAACGGAUCUCUUGGUUCUGGCAUCGAUGAAGAACGCAGCGAAAUGCGAUAAGUAAUGUGAAUUGCAGAAUUCAGUGAAUCAUCGAAUCUUUGAACGCACAUUGCGCCCCCUGGUAUUCCGGGGGGCAUGCCUGUUCGAGCGUCAYUYCACCACUCAAGCCUCGCUUGGUAUUGGGCGACGCGGUCCGCCGCGCGCCUCAAAUCGACCGGCUGGGUCUUUCGUCCCCUCAGCGUUGUGGAAACUAUUCGCUAAAGGGUGCCGCGGGAGGCCACGCCGUAAAACAACCCCAUUUCUAAGGUUGACCUCGGAUCAGGUAGGGAUACCCGCUGAACUUAAGCAUAUCAAUAAGCGGAGGA
rnacentral:rRNA from 1 species